AUGGAGGAUGCCGUGUAUGGCGGGCCGGCCAAUGGCGGUAGAAUUUCUCCGGGUCCAAGAACAGCAAGGGCGAGGAGGAGGGCAGCGUGGUGUCUAUCAGCCUGUCCAGAACGUCAUGAAGAACUUGCCCAACCCGUCGGCGUCUCAAGAUCAUUUAACCUGGCGGCGACUCUAGCUCGCGCCCGCCGCAUCAGUCUCAUGCCCGCCAGGCCAUCGGCGCCCCUUCGAAGACAACGCGAUGACGCACUCCAGCUCCCUGCCGCUCGACCUCAAUGUGAACUGCAGGAGGACGAUUGCUCGGUGGUUGUCUCGUCCUAG
rnacentral:rRNA from 1 species